GCCCGGGUAGCUCAGUGGAUAGAGCAGUAGUUUCCUAAACUAUUGGUCGUGGGUUCAAUUCCCGCCCCGGGUACCA
rnacentral:tRNA from 1 species